rnacentral:rRNA from 1 species
UACGUAGGGGGCUAGCGUUGUCCGGAUUUAUUGGGCGUAAAGAGCGUGUAGGCGGCCAGGUAGGUCUGCUGUGAAAACUCGAGGCUCAACCUCGAGACGUCGGCGGAAACCAUCUGGCUAGAGUCCGGAAGAGGAGAGUGGAAUUCCUGGUGUAGCGGUGAAAUGCGCAGAUAUCAGGAAGAACACCCGUGGCGAAGGCGGCUCUCUGGGACGGUACUGACGCUGAGACGCGAAAAGCGUGGGGGAGCGAACAGG